GGUUCUAUAGUGUAGUGGUUAUCACACGGGAUUCUGACUUGUCAAAUUCCCGUAACCCCGGUUCGAACCCGGGUAGGACCU